AACAUUGCGCAAUGGAGGGAACCCUGACGUAGCAACGCCGCGUGAGCGAUGAAGGUCUUCGGAUUGUAAAGCUCUUUCCCUGGGGAUGAAGGGAGCCGUAAGACUUCUCGACGGUACACAUGGCAGAAUCUCCCGCCAACUACGUGCCAGCAGCCGUGGGAAUACGUAGGGGGCAAGCGUUGUCCGGAAUUAUUGGGCGUAAAGGGUGCGUAGGCGGCCCUUUAAGUCAGAUGUGAAAGCCCACGGCUUAACCGUGGGACUGCAUUUGAAACUGGAGGGCUUGAGUGUCGGAGAGGGCAGUGGAAUUCCCAGUGUAGCGGUGGAAUGCGUAGAUAUUGGGAGGAACACCAGUGGCGAAGGCGACUGCCUGGACGAUAACUGACGCUGAGGCACGAAAGCUAGGGGAGCAAAC
rnacentral:rRNA from 1 species